rnacentral:rRNA from 1 species
UACGUAGGGUGCAAGCGUUAAUCGGAAUUACUGGGCGUAAAGGGUGCGUAGGCGGCGGAGUAAGUUGGGUGUGAAAUCCCGGGGCUCAACCUCGGAAUUGCAUUCAAUACUGCUUCGCUCGAGUACUGGAGAGGAGACUGGAAUUUACGGUGUAGCAGUGAAAUGCGUAGAUAUCGUAAGGAAGGCCGGUGGCGAAAGCGAGUCUCUGGACAGUUACUGACGCUGAUGCACGAAGGCCAGGGGAGCAAACGGG